rnacentral:misc_RNA from 1 species
AUCUCUGAGCAGUCUUCAAAAAAAUAGGCAUAUGAUCACAGAAAAUAGUUGGACAAAAGUGGUCAAAAGUAAAAUAAAGAUGGAUUUUAUGAAUCGAAGAUAGAGGACGCUACGUUAGUGAAAAGAGGAGAGGAGGACGCCGCUCUGUAAAUGUAGCGUCCAAUGAAGUGUAUCAGCUUGGCGACGAAACACACAAGUCCGAAAGCCAAAAGUUGAACGUUGAACUGAGAAGAGCAUAAAGCAAAUAAAAUCAUUGUAUUUACUAUCUUACAUAUCUUUCCGAAUCCGCAACUGCAAUAAAAACAUCGAAUCUAAAGAAAGGAUAGCAUCGUCGUUUUAUUCUUUUACACUAAGAGUGUGUGCUGUGCCUGUGUGUGAGUGUGGGUGUGCUGUGAAGUUGCGACAAAUAGAUGAAGAGGACGGAGCAAGACAAAAAAAGAUACAUUUAUCAAUGUUGAUCCUUCGCAUCGGAAAAUAGUUUGUCGAGUACAGAUAGCAUCUGUAUCCAUGUAAAUAGUGUAUGUUCUUAGGUUUUUUACCGUGAUUGGUGUUGGCACGUUUCGGAGGACGCUACUUUUUUCGUAUAUAUAGAACGAGGCAGGUGGAUUUAUCGAAUCGUAGCGUGCGCGCGGGGGGGAAGGAAAAGAAAAGAAAAAAGCAGCAGCAAGUGGUCAACGAGUCUCGUCCCGUUGCGACAAGAACGUGCAAGAAAAAGGGGACCGCCCCCUGCCCCCCCAGAGUGAAUAGUCGAGCGAUAUGGCAAGGGUAAUGCGUCAGUGCAACGGGCCACGAGUAUUUAGUGACUUAACGGUAUCUUCACGAUGAUUGAAUUUUCGUGAUUCUUUCAAUUCCUUUUGUUGUUCUUUUCGUGUGCGUCUUGUGCGGUUUGCAUGCCUGUGUGUCUCUCGUUCUCUUUUGCCCGAUUACAAAAGGGACUCGAAAGAGACUUUUUACGGAAGCCUAAAAAAAUUACGGAGAAACUCGGGGGAAAGGAACUUGGGUGAAAACAAAGCGUGGGUGGACCGAUGCAACAUUUUACAGCGUGAAUGCGCGCGCGGUCAUCCCUCUCUCUUUAUCGUUCUCUCACUCGCUCCUUCUCGAUUCCUUCUUUCUCCCAUUCUCCUUAGUCGCUCUCGGUUAGCGCGCGCGUAAGUGUUUGCAUAACAACACAAAUUCGAUUAAUUAACCUCGCCGGCCUCUCAAAUUUUAUCGUCGAAUUUUUUUCGGCCGAAACAUUUGAGCUUUUUUUCAUUUUCACGACGCGCCGAAUUCGUAUGGUUUCUCGCACUUUUACCGUACGCUUGGCACCCCACGCGUGCCUACGUGCAUCUUAAAGUGGGUCCUCUCAUCUUCUCGGCAUUCACUGUCUCAGCAAAAUUGGGUCUACCGUCGACCCCACGAUGGUGAUACGAUCCGAUGGUGGCAGCAACGAGAGCCCUCUACUCGUAGCAGAGGGUGGGACGGUGGGACAGCCUCACAGUCCUCACAGUAAACAGAGUCACAAUCACUCUCAUGUUAAUCCACAUGGAGGUCACAGUCACAAUCACGAUAAGCCGAAGCAGCUCAUCAAAUAUGGGGAAUUAGUCAUUUUGGGUUACAAUGGAUUUUUACCGCCGGGUGAUCGUGGACGGAGACGGAGCAAAUUCGUUCUCGUAAAAAGGCCAACACCCAACGGAGUCAAAAGAAGUAAACAUUACGUAGUCAAGACUCCUCACAGUUCCCAAGCUAUAUUGAAUACCCAGCAGCACUCCAUCUCGUACACGCUAUCGCGCACCCAGGCCGUUAUCGUUGAAUACACAGAGGACGAAGAUACCGACAUGUUUCAAAUUGGUCGGUCGUCCGAAUCACCGAUCGAUUUUGUAGUUAUGGACACUUGCCCGGGUGGGAGCGACACGGGACCAGCGAGCGAAAACCGAGUCGCCCAAAGCACCAUCAGCAGGUUCGCUUGCCGAAUUUUGACGGAUCGAUCGGAUCCUCGGGUAGCGAGAAUUUACGCCGCCGGUUUCGACAGCUCGAGAAAUAUUUUUUUAGGGGAGAAAGCGACAAAAUGGCAAGAAAAUCACGAAAUCGACGGUCUGACGACAAACGGAGUUUUAAUAAUGCAUCCACGCGGCCAAUUUUGCGGAGGCGAAGCCCAAUGCGGGUUUUGGCGCGAGGUCAGUGUCGGAGGUGGAGUUUUUUCCUUGAGAGAGAGCCGCAGUGCUCAACAGAAGGGCAACGUCGUCGAGGACGAGGACAAUGUUCUUCAGGAUGGAACCCUCAUCGAUCUUUGUGGCGCCACGUUACUUUGGCGAUCGGCCGAAGGUCUUUCCAAAUCCCCCACGAAACACGAUUUAGAGGAAUUGGUCGACGCGAUUAACGCUGGCAGACCGCAAUGUCCCGUCGGUCUAAAUACUCUCGUAAUACCUCGAAAGGCCGCCGCCGACUCGGCUCAACAACAGCCUUACGUUUAUCUUAGAUGUGGCCACGUUCAAGGCCAUCAUGACUGGGGCCAGGAAAAAGACAAAGCGACGAGGCGAUGUCCCAUGUGUCUCAUUGCCGGUCCGAUUGUUAAAUUGUGCAUGGGCAUCGAGCCCGCUUUCUACGUUGACAGCGGCCCACCCACUUAUGCCUUUAGUCCUUGCGGUCACAUGGCUACGGAAAAAACCGUCAAGUACUGGGAAAAGGUUGCGAUUCCGCACGGCACAAAUGGAUACAUUGCGAUUUGUCCUUUCUGCGCAGUUCCUUUGGAAGGCUCACCCGGAUACGUAAAGCUAAUCUUUCAAGACAACGUAGACUAAAAGAAACGAAAAAAAUUAUUUAACAAUCCACCGAACAACAUUCUUUUUCACCGAGCAAAUGAGCUUUCAACAUUUUCUCGGAAACUUUUUUUCUUAUUGGAUGUCAAAGGGAUAUUAACAACUCGAAAAUCAUGGGGAAACAGGAUCGAAAACGACUCAGAAAUUUACGAAAUAAAAUUCAAAAGCACGUCUUUGAAUUCGAGGGAAAAAGUUUUCUCGCAUGCGAUCAAUUUGACAAAAAUAAACUGUAUUUUGCAGGUGCAGCUAAAUUGGGCAAUAUGGUAAUAACUACGAACAAGGACAGAGAAUUUUACCAAAAAUCAAAUGAAAAAUUGCAAAAAAAAAAUAUAAAAAAAGUAAAUCUGAAAAAAAGCACGUAACGAAUGAUAAUUCAAGUAAAAGACUGCUUAAAGUAUUGUGCGUGGAGGAAAAUUUCAUGUCGCUAAUUGACAUAAAGUUUUUUUUUAUUAAUUUAAAUUAAAUUAAACUAAAAUUAUAAAUAGUAA